GACGAACGCUGGCGGCGUGCCUAAUACAUGCAAGUCGAACGCAUUUUCUUUCACCGUGGCUUGCUACACCGAGAGAAAAUCAGGUGCGAACGGGGGAGUAACCCGUGCGUAACCUGCCCAUCAGCGGGGGAUAACCCUUGGAAACAGGUGCUAAUACCGCAUAAUUCCUUUUACCGCAUGGUAGAUGGGUGCAGGUGGCUUUUGCGUCACUGAUCGAUGGACCCGCGGUGCUUUUUCUAGUUGGGGAGGUUACGGCCUACCAAGGCUGCGAGUCAUAGCCGGACUGAGGAGGGGGACCGGCACCCCGGGACCGGGGCACGGCCCCAGACUCCACCGGAGGGAGCAGUAGGGGAACUUCGGCAAUGGGGGGAAGGCUGACCGGGCAACGCCGCGUGAGGGGAGAAGGUUUUCGGGUCGUAAAACUCUGUUGUUAGGGAAGAACAAGAAGGAGAGUGGAAAGUUCAUCCCUUGACGGUAUCUAACCAGAAAGCCACGGCUAACUACGUG
rnacentral:rRNA from 1 species